ensembl:lncRNA
UGUUUGAUACCCCCACUAGAAAAGAAGACUCAAUGAGUGGAUGAAAUGUGUGGUCAUAUUAUCUGCUUGAUUACCAUAUAUAUUUCAUAUAAUAAGGAGUAUUUGUUGAAUAAAUGAAAAAUGAGUGCCACAAAUUACCAGGGGAGGAAGAAGUCCUUGAAUUUCAGAGGCAGAGAUCUGGGGACAGAUAACUGAGAAAAUGGAGGAAGGACAGGAGCUCAUCUGAUAGAGUGUGUAUGGCCUUCCUUUGAAAUCAAAUUCUGGCUCAGCUGGUUACCUGAGCUCUUGGAACCUCAGUCGCCUCAUCUCUAAAAUGCAGAUAAUAAUGAUGAUGGGAUUUAUCGAGGUACUUAAAUUUGAAACAAAAGGGACCAGCUGAAAGGGUAUGCAUCGAUGACCAGGCAGCUACUUUUAGUACAGAGAGAAACCCACAACUCAUUGUGGGCAGAAUAGCAUACCACCUCCUGUGCCGGACAUGCAUCUGGAUACCCUCAGAUCCCGUUCUCCCUUCUGGACUCCGCUAUGUCAUUUUGUGAAACAAGAGUCUACAGAUUGCAUUUAUCAGCCUCCUAUGACCACGUGAUUCAUAUUAGCUUCUGCCAAUAAGAGGCACUAAUGGGAGAAGGUAAAAGAAGUGAAACUUCCUGCUUCAGAUUUCAGUACUUCUUUUUGUUUAUCCCGCUCUUAACUUGGGGUGUUUUUGUUUUACUUACUAGAUAUAGUGCCACUAUUAUUUCCUGUUCCGGUUAGGCGAGGGCUUUUACAGCACAGCUUUGCCCAUCUGAGAGGUGAGGCCUUCUGUCUGCAACCGAGAAGAGGAAUUUUGGAGCAAAACUAGAAACUCGAGAGUACUUUGUAGAUGCAGACUUCUCAGUGUCACCUUGCUCUGAAAAAAAAUCUGCAUCUUAAAGUAGAGGACUACAUCCUGGGUAUGAAUAUAGUCUGUAAUGUAGUGGUUCAUCACUGCAGUGUGGUGGACCAUCAUCAAAAGGCUAAAGAGAAAGCCAAAGGUGAGCAAAUCCAAAGGAAUCCAUAUAAAAGGUAAUGUGCACACAUCUUAUCUUGGCAUUUGAGGUUCUUAAUAACCUGUUCCUACUGGGCCUAUCCACGCUUACCUUAUAUUAGAUAUAAGGGACUCUUUGCUCCUAUUGGGACAAAUAUUUUCAGUGUUUUCUCUGGUCAGUUCAUACCCACUUUUCAGUAGCCUGCUCCCACCCCUGCUUCAUCCAAUAUGGUUACAACCAUGAAUAUCCUUCCUCCUUGAUUUCACACUUGAGUCCAGCAAUUUAUACAUGGCCUCACCUUGUCUAUAUGCUUCCCUUACUUCAUGCACAUUUAUUUCUUCUAACUCUGAAAUUCUUAACCACUUUUUUUUUCAGCACCGUACUCUGAGACUUAGAACGUUUUAUAUCUGAUACUCGACUCUGUUUACAACUAGUUUCUAAAGUCUUCGAAAACAGGCUUGUGCUUUUGUGCCAUUUGAUUUCUCCUUAGAUAGGCCUGUGGUGUUAGGACUAUUCAUAUAUGGCUCUUCCCCUUUUGGGCACCUGGUAAGAUCGUACUUCCUCAAUCCCUUGAAGGUUAGACACAACCUUACGACUUCCUUUGGAAAACAGAACGUGAGAGCAGCAAUGUAUGUCACUUCUUGGUAUAAGUUUUAAGAGCCAGUGUGUUGUUCACUUAUUCCUAACCCCUGCUGUGAUACUGUGGCAGCAGAUAUGAAGAUAGAGUCUCGAUCAGCUUGGACCCUUGAAUGGCUACGAUGGUAGAGUUUACUGUUGAGCUGUGAUGAAAAUGUACUCUGAGUGAGAAAUAAACUGUUGUUUUGAUAUGCCA